GGACCCGCACAAGCGGUGGAACAUGUGGUUUAAUUCGAUAAUACGCGAAAAACCUUACCAAGUUUUGACAUAUUAGUCAUAUGUUUAGGAAACUAUUCAGUCAGACUUUAGCUGGACUAUUACAGGUGUUGCAUGGCUGUCGUCAGCUCGUGUCGUGAGAUGUUGAAUUAAGUUUCGUAACGAGCGUAACCCUUAUUUUUAGUUGCUAUUAAAAAAAAUAAGCACUUUAAAAAACUGCCAUAUUUUUGGAGGAAGGUGAGGAUGACGUCAAGUCAGUAUGGCCCUUAUAACUUGGGCUACACACGUGUUACAAUGACGGUUACAAUAUGAAGCAAAAAGAUGACUUAGAGCAAAUCUUAAAAAAUCGUCUCAGUUCAGAUUGUACCCUGCAACUCGGAUACAUGAAGUUGGAAUCGCUAG
rnacentral:rRNA from 1 species